CUAUGCGCCUUGCCAGCCCGCUCAGGUGUGCCAGCAGCCGCGGUAAUACGGAGGAUGCGAGCGUUAUCCGGAUUUAUUGGGUUUAAAGGGUGCGUAGGCGGUCCGUUAAGUCAGCGGUAAAAUUGCGGGGCUCAACCCCGUCGAGCCGUUGAAACUGUCAGACUUGAGUUGGCGAGAAGUACGCGGAAUGCGCGGUGUAGCGGUGAAAAUGCAUAGAUAUCGCGCAGAACUCCGAUUGCGAAGGCAGCGUACCGGCGCCACACUGACGCUGAGGCACGAAAGCGUGGGGAUCGAACAGG
rnacentral:rRNA from 1 species